CAGCCAACCCCCUCCAGCCAACAUGUCUCUACUCCCAACCCCUCCAGCCAACAUGUCUCUACUCCCAACCCCCCAACCUCCUCCAGCCAACCCCCUCCAGCCAACAUGUCUCUACUCCCAACCCCCCCAACACCCUCCAGCCAACAUGUCUCCACAGCUAAGGAAGAAUUCUUCACUUCUCUCAUUGACUUCUCAAACUCCAAACCACGGCCUGGUCCGCUUGUUCUGUUUCACAAGCGUUCCGGGAAGUCUCUGAUGUUGCACAUCUGGGUUCAGAAACUCUGUGAUUUUAUGUUACUGCUUUUACUCCAAAGUAUAUUUACGGUACUUCGAUACGAUUGAGUUUUUCAGUCCAUAUUUAUAUUUCUUUACUUUGUAUGUUUAAAAAAAAAAAUCUGUUUUGUAUUUAUUACAUUUUUUUUUUUUACUCCAAAGUAUUGUUUGUGUAUUACCUUGCCCACGGUGUCGGGUAAUACUGAACGUUUAGACAUCGUGGGCGACAGGUAGCCUCGUGGUUCGAUCGUUGGGCCACUUGUUGAAUAUAUUCAGUCGUUCUCCAAAUCCUGAAGCUACUUUACCUUGAUUUUGGAUUUACAUUUGGGCUUUUGUUUGUUGCACCAAAACUCCCUGUACUGUGUACUUUAUAACUGAGCUUCAUGUCCAGCUUUUCAUAACGCUCUCAUUGCCACAAAUUAUAUAAGAUACUUUAAAAAAAAUAUACAAAAAUUUAGAAUGACUUUAAACUUUUAUUUAUACUCAUUAAUUUCCCAAUACUUCCAAACAUGUUGUUGAACUGUAUUGUAAAAUAUGAUAUUAUAUAUAUAUAUUAUAUAUAUAUAUGAUAUAUAUUGUGUGUGUUACAUGUAAAAGGGCAUAAGAGUAGAGGUACUCAAUCAUUCAAAGACACCUACUGUGUGAAGAUCAGGAAUAUGCAACAUUCGGGUGUUUUUAUCAACUGUCUUAGUUUUAAAAAAUUUAAAAAAUUUAAAAAAUCUUUCCUUGAAAUCUACAGGAACUUGAUAGACCAUUUUCUUAAAUAAUGAAACAUACAAACAUGUUACAGAGUUUUAAAAAAAAUGUAAAAAUCUUUCCUUGAAAUCUACAGGAACUUGAUAGACCAUUUUUUAAAAUAAUGAAACAUACAAACAUGUUACAGAGUUUUAAAAAAUGUAAAAAAUGUAAAAAUCUUUCCUUGAAAUCUACAGGAACUUGAUAGACCAUUUUCUUAAAUAAUGAAACAUACAAACAUGUUACAGACAUUAUGUGAGUGUCAUUAACAUGUACAAAAGGGUUAUUUAAAUUUUGAUGGGAGACGUGUCAACAAUGUGAACAGCGCUGUGUAGGGAGUAGGGUGCCGUUUCACCCUCGGUCUCUGUGUAGGGAGUAGGGUGCCGUUUCACCCUAGGUCUCUGUGUAGGGAAUAGGGUGCCGUUUCACCCUAGGUCUCUGUGUAGGGAGUAGGGUGCCGUUUCACCCUCGGUCUCUGUGUAGGGAGUAGGGUGCCGUUUCACCCUCGGUCUCUGUGUAGGGAGUAGGGUGCCGUUUCACCCUCGGUCUCUGUGUAGGGAGUAGGGUGCCGUUUCACCCUCGGUCUCUGUGUAGGGAGUAGGGUGCCGUUUCACCCUCGGUCUCUGUGUAGGGAGUAGGGUGCCGUUUCACCCUAGGUCUCUGUGUAGGGAGUAGGGUGCCGUUUCACCCUAGGUCUCUGUGUAGGGAAUAGGGUGCCGUUUCACCCUAGGUCUCUGUGUAGGGAAUAGGGUGCCGUUUCACCCUAGGUCUCUGUGUAGGGAGCCGUUUCACCCUAGGUCUCUGUUGAGAAAAACGUAAUUUGAAUCAUCAGUACGGUAAGGGGAUCUUGUUAUAGUGAAACAGACGGAAACGGCCUGGACAAAAAACAAACAAAAACAAAAAACAUUUGCAAAAACAUGCAAAUGAAUCUUUUUGAAAUAAAUGAUAGUCUGGCUAAGGCAAACAUUCUAUGUCAUAAUGUGGCACAAUUAUUUCCUCUUUUUCAUGAAUUCUAAAACUUUGUAUGUUUUAUUGUCAACAGGAAUGAGUAUUACUGUAAUUAUUAUUAUUAUAAUUAUUGUCAUGGCUAUUACUAAUAUUAGUGGCAGGCCACUGGGUAACAUUGUAUGUUGAUAUCCAAAUGAAAUCUGUGCAAGAUAAUGAUGAAAUGUUUAUGAGUUUUAAAAGCAAAUAAAAAGAUAGACUUCCA